AGCUUUCUGUAGUAGCAGUAUCAAAGCCAGUGAGGUUUAUCUGAGGCAUGAUUAUUGCUAAUUGAAAGCUUUCCCACAUCUCUAUCUUUCAGUCUCUGCAAAUGGUCAAAUGAUAGUGAUUGACCCUUGCUAUAGAAA
rnacentral:snRNA from 1 species